rnacentral:misc_RNA from 1 species
GCUUGUCAAGUAUAUGUCAAAUUUGCCUCGUUAUCUCCAGCGUGUGGACAAAAAAGAAAACAUCCAGGAUAAGGCUUUAAAUGUUGGUGUUUUGGAUUGGUCUCGUUUAGAGAAUUGGAAAUGCAACAAAAAGAGCACCCCAAUGAGAGUAGGCAACAAGGCAUCUUUGAUUAGCAGUAAUUUGUCAACUAGAAUGACUAAUAGGUCAUCUACCUUUUAUGGUCAAGCUCAUAAUGAGACUCCUGCAUAUCAAAGCAAGCAGUGUCCUUCACUUUCUUCCAGAAAUAGUUCUUCUUUAAAUGAUGGCAUUUCUCGAGAUGCCAAAUCAUCUGUCCGGGAUGCUAUGCUCUUUCAGGAUGUGGCGAAUGCUUCCAAGAGCCACUUUGAUGGACAGAAGAGGGUAUUUUGCAGCUAUAAGUCUCUUGAUGGAAAUAGUUCAGAUACAACUUUUGAGAAGGGGAGAAGAAAAGAGUUGCACAAUAAAAUCACUUCAAAAGUUCAAAAUCGGUCAUCCAACUCCAGAAACAAUGGGAUGCCAAUUGGGCCCAAAGAAAGUUUGAAUACUUGUGAUAGAGAAGCCAAGCAGAGACUAGAGGAGAUGCAAGAAGUUUAUAUAAAGAGAAAAGCUUUGGAACAGAAGAUCACUCCAAGCAUGGGAGCUUCAUCAUCAAAGAUGAAAAAUGAUAACAUUUCACCCACUGCAAAGGGAAAGAAGAAUGAAAAUAAUGGUAGAAUGAAGAAGAGAAUGGAGCUGCAACAAUCAACUAUUGAUCUUCCUUGGCAACAUCAAGCCGAUGAGAAGAAAAACAUUGUUCUCCUUUUUCCCAAAAAAUUUGUCCACAAUAGCUUCCAAGAGCAACCAACAUCAUCAUUGAAUGAGACUGUAACAGGAGCAAAUCAAAAUACCUUGUCAUAUGGCUUUUCUGACGAGUUUUACUCUUCAGAACUUAAUUAUGAAAUUCCUCACUCAUGUCCACUGUCUCCUAGAGUUGAGAUUAACAUUGAACAACAGGAGAUGGCACCUGAUGCAAUCAAUACUCAGGAUGCAGAGCUGUCAUCCGAUGCAAUCAACACUAUUAAGUCUUCAAAUGAAAUUCUAGUUGAAACAUCAAAGAUAUUCAACCAAGAUACAGAAGAAGUGGCAGCUAGAAAAGGCAGACAUCCUUCACCAAAUCGCCGAUUUAGCUUCAGCUUAGGUCAGAUGACCAGAAGUUUUAGCUUCAAGGAGAGUUCAGCUGUUCCACGGUUGACUUCCACACAUGUUUCGGUGAAGUCUGGUCCAGUGUUAUCCAAAGCUUCUGCUGGUUUGGAUGAUUCAAACAGAGAGAAAGCAAGUUGUCAUAGAUCCAAAUCCAGCCCUUUAAGAAGAUUAUUGCAUCCAUUGCUAAAGUCCAAGGGUUUAACUCCAAAUCCUUCUGCUCAAACUGAUCAACUAUUCAGAGGAAGCCUGAAUUCCUACAGCUUUAAGCCAAUUAACACUACUGAAUCACAUCAAAACAAAGAGCGUGAGGCAUCAAGCAUAAAAGCUCAUCUGUUGCUUACUAUGAGGAAUGGACUUCCUUUGUUCAGAUUUGUGAUCAAUAACAACAGUAUUAUUGUUGCAGCCCCUGUGAAAAAUUUAAUGUCACCUGGGAAUAAUGAUCAAGGCUGCAACUAUGUGUUGUAUACCAUUGAAGAGAUUAAGAAAAAAAGUGGCAGCUGGAUAAGUCAAGGUAGUAAAGAGAGAAGUUGUGGCUUUGUCUAUAAUGUGGUUGGCCAGAUGACGGUUAACAGCUCUUCUUCCUUGGAUUCGGCUGAACAGAACUCCAAUGCCCAGUAUAUGGUAAAAGAGUCCGUGUUGUUUGGUGUUGAGAGGAGACAGACAGGCCAGGUAUCACCAAAGUUAAUGCCAAACGCAGAGCUUGCUGCCAUUGUUGUCAAGAUGCCUAGUGGAAACAUAGGCUUUGACUUUGACAAGCAGCAGACUGAUAAAGAAAAAAAUAUCAUGGAAAAGGGAUUCUCAUGGCACCUGCCAGAGAAUGAACACUCUAAUAGUUGCACAGUCAUAAUUCCUGGCGGUGUCCAUAGUUUGCCAAACACAGGAGUUCCUUCACCAUUGAUUCACCGAUGGAGAUCUGGUGGAUCAUGCGACUGUGGAGGUUGGGAUGUUGGUUGUGAACUCCGUAUCCUAUCCACUGAAAUCCAACACAAGAAGCUUCCAAGGACAUCCAAUGCUUGCCUGAGAUCAAAUCGAUUUGAACUUUUUGUUCAGGGAGAAGCACAAGAUACUCCCAUCUUCAGCAUGACACCAGUUGAGAAGGGGAAGUACUCAGUUGAGUUCAGUCCAUCAAUUUCUUUGUUACAGGCGUUCUUCAUUUGUGUCACAAAUAUAAGCUGCCAGAAAUCAUCUGAUCUCGCUGAACAGAGUAACGUGUCCAAAGAAAAAGUUCAUCAGGAAUCCAGAAAUGCAAAUGGACUGAAGAAGAUUCGCACCACUGUCCUGGGGGAAGCACCUGUGAAAUACACUCCAAGUCCACCUGUUUCACCUGUUGGAAGGAUCUAGCUUUAGGCCUGGAGGAGCUCUUAAACAGGGAUCCUGAUGUAGCAGAAGUCAUGUUUGGCUGUCAUAAUUUUGUAUCAAUUAUGUUACAUUACCAAAAUCCCUCCCUUGUAUAAUGAAAAUAAUGCAACCAAUUAUACCCCUCCCAAAGAGAGUGCAGUUUUAAGAAGGUAAAAAUUUUCGGUUCAAAGGUUUUCUCAUCAAGAAAUUCUCGUGCAACAUAAAAGACUUGGAGCAGUUUAGUCAGGGCUAUAGUGCGACAUAACUCUUAAAAAGUAAAAAACCACCACUGAUUAUAUAAGUUCCCAGCAGAGUCUAACAGAGACUUAAAUUGAUAAUUUAACUCAUUGAGAUGAAAUAAAAUAGAUUUUUCUAAACAAACAAGAUUUUGUCACCGUAGCCCUGACUUGCCUGCUUCAAACGCACACCCAACGAUAACACUGACAGCCCACAGAUUGCAUGCAGAUAGUUCUGUCUUCUGAUUCGAUAGAUGAUUUAAAGAAUAGUUCUGUCUUCUGAUUGAUUAUAUGAUGUAAAAGAAUCUAAAACUACUAAAACAAAUUGCAGCAACCAAAAAAAAAUCAGCUUCUGCGUGCCUUACAUGUACUGAGAGUUUCUUACAAGUCGACAGGUGAAGCAUGGUGAAUACAGAUGUACCAUUGACCAUCAAUUCUCUCAAAAACGUUUGUUACAAACUGUGCCCCCCAGCUGCUGCCUUUUGUCCUAACAAAUUCCACACAAGUUACAUAACCGACAUCACCCUUAAAAUGAACUCGAGCAUUCUUCAACUGAAUCUCCAGUGGGAAAUCAUAGUUCAUCCACACAAGUUCCCAGCUUUCCAUAACAUCAUCAUAACCAGUAACCCCACUGGCUCCUGGGUGUACACAACAAACGUUAUCUCCUUUUGCCCAGAGGGACUGCAUGGAAGCCAAGUCCCCAUUCCUGAAUGCAUUAUAAAAACGAGCAUUUGCUGCCAGUACUGAAGCCUUACUAUCCUCCUGGAGUAUUCUAAGGCUAUCCCUGAGUUUUGCAGCUUGGGCAUAAUUCUCUUCUUCAAUGGCAAUCUGUAGAUCCCGCAUUAAGGCUUGCUCAUCCCAUAUGAUGCUUUCACCACUUAUAAUUUCCUCCGAGUCUUCGCUUGUUACUUGACAUGCUCUUAGUGACAACAACCGGGAUGUUUUUCUAAAAAGUGCUGCUUUGUUGUAAAUACAGAGUUAGAUAAGCUAAAGGGGAUUCCUUUAAACAAUAGCAAUGCAGAUAGCUGUAAGUAUAAAAAUUGAACCAUGGAUAACAGAUUCAAACCACAAAACGUACGAGUUCUUCCUUCAAUGUGCAGCUUGAGAGGAAAAUAAUGCGUUGCAGAAGUAGCAGGCAAGAACAAGUGAUUGUCCUUGUGAUGGGGAAGCCUCUUGAAACGAUUAAUGCAAGAACAUGGCAGCCGCCUAUCAAUAAAAUUUACCUACAACAAAAUUGCAAGCUAAAACAAAGUGCAUAUAAAUUCAAGAAAACAAAAACUAUAACAUUUGGUGAAUUACUCAACAACAGCUUAUUAGAAAAUGGAUGACCAAAUCCCUAAAGCAGCAUUUUCUUAAUCCUUUCAGCGCAUUAAAAAUUCACAACGAAUCUUAAUUUGAACAUCCCUGUUCCUAUUCAGCCUGUUUGGAAACUAGAAACUCCCAAGAAUGCAAUUCAAUUGAUUUCUCUCUUUUUUUUUUAAUCAUUUACAAGAAAAGAAUUC